rnacentral:misc_RNA from 1 species
GAUGAAGAACGCAGCAAAAUGCGAUAAGUAAUGUGAAUUGCAGAAUUCAGUGAAUCAUCGAAUCUUUGAACGCACAUUGCGCCCGGCAGUACUCUGCCGGGCAUGCCUGUUCGAGCGUCAUUUCAACCCUCAAGCCCUGCUUGGUGUUGGGGUCCCACGGCCGCCGUGGGCCCUGAAAGGAAGUGGCGGGCUCGCUACAACUCCGAGCGUAGUAAUUCAUUAUCUCGCUUAGGGCGUUGGGCGGCGCUCCUGCCGUUAAAGAACCAUCUUUAACUCAAGGUUGACCUCGGAUCAGGUAGGAAUACCCGCUGAACUUAAGCAUAUCAAUAAGCGGAGGA